UUACGGCAAUAUCACGUUGAAACACCACUUCUCGUACGAACACCUAAGUUAAGCAACGUCGAUCUAAGUCAGUACCUAGAUAGGUGACACCUUGGCAAUAUCAGGUGCU